UGCACAUUGAUGUCUCUUAUACUAUCAUUAUUGAGUAUACUGAUAAAGAUCACCUGGUUGGUGAAAGUCUCAUUCAUAAAAUGGGAAUAUACAAGUAUGGUACUACUUGGCAAUAUCAGGAGGACUACACUACAUUUGAUCUGGAUUUGUCUGAUAAUGAUAAUCAGGGUGAUAUGGGUAAUCAGAAUGCUACAACUCAGGGGGAGUCUUCUAGAACAG
rnacentral:lncRNA from 1 species